rnacentral:tRNA from 1 species
GCCGGAGUGGUGGAAUUGGCAGACACAGAGGACUUAAAAUCCUCUGGUUCGUAAGAACCGUACCGGUUCAAGUCCGGUCUCCGGCA